UACGUAGGGGGCAAGCGUUGUCCGGAUUUAUUGGGCGUAAAGAGCGUGUAGGCGGUUAGGUAGGUCCGUUGUGAAAACUCGAGGCUCAACCUCGAGACGCCGAUGGAAACCAUCUGACUAGAGUCCGGAAGAGGAGAGUGGAAUUCCUGGUGUAGCGGUGAAAUGUGUAGAGAUCGGGAGGAACACCGGUGGCGAAGGCGGGUCUCUGGGCAUCUCCUGACGCUGAGGCGCGAAAGCGUGGGGAGCAAACGGG
rnacentral:rRNA from 1 species